UACGUAGGGGGCAAGCGUUGUCCGGAUUUAUUGGGCGUAAAGCGCGCGUAGGCGGCCCCGUAAGUCCGCUGUGAAAGUCAAAGGCUCAACCUUUGAAAGCCGGUGGAUACUGUGGGGCUAGAGUACGGAAGAGGCGAGUGGAAUUCCUGGUGUAGCGGUGGAAUGCGCAGAUAUCGGGAAGAACACCCGUGGCGAAGGCGGUUCUCUGGGACGGUACUGACGCUGAGACGCGAAAGCGUGGGGAGCGAACAGG
rnacentral:rRNA from 1 species